ensembl:lncRNA
GGACUCCUUGCGUGUUCAUGCACACCAGUGUGGAGCAAAGCAGCCUGAGUAUCUAAGAUCGACACAGCUCAGAAAACAUGUUGCCACACUCUCACAAGUCCUUAAUUUGAAAAACAACGAACUUGAUCAGGUUGCAGAUUUCCUGGGUCAUGAUAUCCGCGUUCACCGCGAAUUCUACAGAUUACCAGUUCCCACAACACAGCUGGCCAAGAUUUCCAAACUGCUUUUAACACUGGAAAAAGGACAACUUUCCCAGAUCCAGGGGAAAUCACUGGAUGAGAUCAAAAUAGAAGAUGAAAUUGCAUUAAGUGAUGCUGAAACAAAGGACAGUGAGAGUGAAUCAGAUGAUGAUGACACAGCACUCACAAUGUUGGCGUGUGGCACCAGUGAGCCUGUACAUGCAGUAGCUGAUUCCACAAACACAGCGCAGCUCCAAGACACUGUAGAUUGUGCAGAUGAAGGACCACUCACAAUGCCUGCAGCAAGUGAGACUGCUGCUCCCUCUGAAGAGAAAAAUGCUGCUCAAUCCCACAAUUCCCGAAGAGCUCCCAAAAACAUGUGGUCCAAGGCUGAGGUUGCUGCAGUGAUGAGGCAUUUUAAAGACCACAUAAACGAAGGGAAACUAGCCACCAAAAAUGAAUGCAGUCAUUGCAAAUUGGUAGAAGAUCCGGUGUUGGCAGGAAGAACAGUUCAAAACAUACGAGAUUUUGUAAGAAACAGAGGAUUAACUGCAAAAAGGCAGAAAAAAAUGAACUAAAAUAACAGUUUAGCCAGAUGUGGUUUUACAUCUUGGUCAGAUUGCCAAUUGUUGUUAACACUGAUGUUCUGUUUAAAGAAAAAAAAAGUUCUUGUUAAUUACAGAAGUAGUUUGUAUUUCAUAAUUUUUACAUUUAAUUUAUUUAGGGUUUUUUUUUUUUGACAGGUUAUAUUUAAAAUAAAAAAUUAUAAAUGCAUAUUUUCUCCCCUUAAUAUUUACCUUUAGACUAUUAAAAUUCAUUUUAAAUGUUUUUAAUUUUUCUGUUUUCUAUAUUUUUAUAUUUCUGUGGGAAGCGUGGGCAUUUUUGUCCAUAGAUUUCUUUUUUAUUUAUGGUUAAAAUUAAUGUUCAGAUCCAAGAACACUAAUAAAAUGAUGUUCCAGUAAUCCUGUGUCCUGUCAGAUAUGUAUUCAUGGUAAUGAUGAGCUAUUUAAAUAUUACAUCAUUGUCCCUUUAAAGACCCAAUAUUGUUUUUUUUG